GUCAGGAUGGCCGAGCGGUCUAAGGCGCAUGCUCAGGUCGCCGUCUCCCCUGGAGGGCGGGUUCAAAUCCCAUUUCUGACA